rnacentral:rRNA from 1 species
UAGGGAAUCUUCCGCAAUGGACGAAAGUCUGACGGAGCAACGCCGCGUGAGUGAAGAAGGUUUUCGGUUCGUAAAACUCUGUUGUUAGGGAAGAAAAAAUGUAUAGUAACUAUAUACAAAAGAGACGGUACCUAACCAGAAAGCCACGGCUAACUACGUGCCAGCAGCCGCGGUAAUACGUAGGUGGCAAGCGUUGUCCGGAAUUAUUGGGCGUAAAGCGCGCGCAGGUGGUUUAGAAAGUCUGAUGUGAAAGCCCACGGCUCAACCGUGGAGGGUCAUUGGAAACUAAUAAACUUGAGUGCAGGAGAGAAAAGUGGAAUUCCUAGUGUAGCGGUGAAAUGCGUAGAGAUUAGGAGGAACACCGGUGGCGAAAGCGGCUUUUUGGCCUGCAACUGACACUGAGGCGCGAAAGCGUGGGGAGCAAACAGG